rnacentral:rRNA from 1 species
ACGAACGCUGGCGGCGUGCCUAAUACAUGCAAGUAGAACGCUGAAGAGAGGAGCUUGCUCUUCUUGGAUGAGUUGCGAACGGGUGAGUAACGCGUAGGUAACCUGCCUUGUAGCGGGGGAUAACUAUUGGAAACGAUAGCUAAUACCGCAUAACAAUGGAUGACACAUGUCAUUUAUUUGAAAGGGGCAAUUGCUCCACUACAAGAUGGACCUGCGUUGUAUUAGCUAGUAGGUGAGGUAAUGGCUCACCUAGGCGACGAUACAUAGCCGACCUGAGAGGGUGAUCGGCCACACUGGGACUGAGACACGGCCCAGACUCCUACGGGAGGCAGCAGUAGGGAAUCUUCGGCAAUGGGGGCAACCCUGACCGAGCAACGCCGCGUGAGUGAAGAAGGUUUUCGGAUCGUAAAGCUCUGUUGUAAGUCAAGAACGGGUGUGAGAGUGGAAAGUUCACACUGUGACGGUAGCUUACCAGAAAGGGACGGCUAACUACGUGCCAGCAGCCGCGGUAAUACGUAGGUCCCGAGCGUUGUCCGGAUUUAUUGGGCGUAAAGCGAGCGCAGGCGGUUUGAUAAGUCUGAAGUUAAAGGCUGUGGCUCAACCAUAGUUCGCUUUGGAAACUGUCAAACUUGAGUGCAGAAGGGGAGAGUGGAAUUCCAUGUGUAGCGGUGAAAUGCGUAGAUAUAUGGAGGAACACCGGUGGCGAAAGCGGCUCUCUGGUCUGUAACUGACGCUGAGGCUCGAAAGCGUGGGGAGCGAACAGGAUUAGAUACCCUGGUAGUCCACGCCGUAAACGUUGAGUGCUAGAUGUUGGAUCCUUUCCGGGAUUCAGUGCCGCAGCUAACGCAGUAAGCACUCCGCCUGGGGAGUACGACCGCAAGGUUGAAACUCAAAGGAAUUGACGGGGGCCCGCACAAGCGGUGGAGCAUGUGGUUUAAUUCGAAGCAACGCGAAGAACCUUACCAAGUCUUGACAUCCUGCGACGGUGCUGGAAACAGUACUUUCCUUCGGGACGCAGAGACAGGUGGUGCAUGGUUGUCGUCAGCUCGUGUCGUGAGAUGUUGGGUUAAGUCCCGCAACGAGCGCAACCCCUAUUGUUAGUUGCCAUCAUUCAGUUGGGCACUCUAGCGAGACUGCCGGUAAUAAACCGGAGGAAGGUGGGGAUGACGUCAAAUCAUCAUGCCCCUUAUGACCUGGGCUACACACGUGCUACAAUGGACGGUACAACGAGUCGCGAGACCGCGAGGUUUAGCUAAUCUCUUAAAGCCGUUCUCAGUUCGGAUUGUAGGCUGCAACUCGCCUACAUGAAGUCGGAAUCGCUAGUAAUCGCGGAUCAGCACGCCGCGGUGAAUACGUUCCCGGGCCUUGUACACACCGCCCGUCACACCACGAGAGUUUGUAACACCCGAAGUCGGUGAGGUAACCUUUUGGAGCCAGCCGCCUAAGGUGGGACAGAUGAUUGGGGUG